GACGAACGCUGGCGGCGUGCUUAACACAUGCAAGUCGAACGGAAAGGCACUGCUUUUGUGGGGUGCUCGAGUGGCGAACGGGUGAGUAUCACGUGAGUAACCUGCCCUAGACUUUCGGAUAACUUCACGAAAGUGGGGCUAAUAUCGGAUAGGAGCUCCUGCUGCAUGGUGGGGGUUGGAAAGUUUCGGCGGUUGGGGAUGGACUCGCGGCUUAUCAGCUUGUUGGUGGGGUAGUGGCUUACCCAGGCUUUGACGGAUAGCCGGCCGGGGAGGGUGACCGGCGACAAUGGGACUGAGAUACGGCCCAGACGGCAACGUGAGGCAGCAGUGGGGAGUAUUGCACAAUGGGCGGAAGCCGGAUGCAGAAGCGCCGCGUGCGGGAUGACGGUCUUCGGGUUGUAAACCGCUUUCGCCUGUGACGAAGCGUGAGUGACGGUAAUGGGUAAAGAAGCACCGGCUAACUACGUG
rnacentral:rRNA from 1 species